AUUGAACGCUGGCGGCAUGCUUUACACAUGCAAGUCGAACGGCAGCGGGGAGGAGCUUGCUUCUCUGCCGGCGAGUGGCGAACGGGUGAGUCAUACAUCGGAACGUGUCGAGAAGAGGGGGAUAACCACCCGAAAGGGUGGCUAAUACCGCAUAAAUUCUGAGGAAGAAAGCUGGGGACCUAGGAAUAGGCCUAGCGCUUUUUGAGCGGCCGAUGUCGGAUUAGCUAGUUGGUGAGGUAAAGGCUCACCAAGGCGACGAUCUGUAGCGGGUCUGAGAGGAUGAUCCGCCACACUGGGACUGAGACACGGCCCAGACUCCUACGGGAGGCAGCAGUGGGGAAUUUUGGACAAUGGGGGCAACCCUGAUCCAGCCAUGCCGCGUGUAUGAAGAAGGCCUUAGGGUUGUAAAGUACUUUUGUUAGGGAAGAAAAGUCAGCUGUGAAUAAUGGCUGAUACUGACGGUACCUAAAGAAUAAGCACCGGCUAACUACGUG
rnacentral:rRNA from 1 species